GUGAGGAAUAUUGCGCAAUGGAGGCAACUCUGACGCAGCCAUUCCGCGUGCAGGAAGAAGGCGCUACGCGUUGUAAACUGCUUUUAACCGGGAAGAAACCCCAGGACGUGUCCUGGGUUGACGGUACCGGAGGAAUAAGCACCGGCUAACUUCGUGCCAGCAGCCGCGGUAAUACGAAGGGUGCAAGCGUUAUCCGGAUUCAUUGGGUUUAAAGGGUGCGUAGGCGGAGCGUUAAGUCAGUGGUGAAAUCCUGCAGCUUAACUGUAGACUUGCCAUUGAUACUGGCGCUCUUGAGUGCGCUUGAAGUGGGCGGAAUGUGCCGUGUAGCGGUGAAAUGCUUAGAUAUGGCACAGAACACCAAUUGCGAAGGCAGCUCACUAAGGCGAUACUGACGCUGAGGCACGAAAGCGUGGGGAUCGAACAGGAUUAGAUACCCUUGUAGUCC
rnacentral:rRNA from 1 species